UGAAUGUCCUGGACUCUCCAGAGUGCCGG
rnacentral:piRNA from 1 species